AUGGCUGUCGUCAGCUCGUGUCGUGAGAUGUUCGGUUAAGUCCGCUAACGAGCGCAACCCUCGCUGUGUGUACAAGUGUCACACGGAACUGCCGGUCAUAAACCGGAGGAAGGUGGGGAUGACGUCAAGUCAGCAUGGCCUUUAUAUCCUGGGCUACACACACGCUACAAUGGGAAGGGACAAUAGGUUGCGAAGCCGCGAGGCGGAGCCAAUCCAGCAAAACUUCCCUCAGUUCAGAUUGCAGGCUGCAACUCGCCUGCAUGAAGUUGGAGUUGCUAGUAAACGCAGGUCAGCCAUACUGCGUUGAAUACGUUCCCGGGGCUU
rnacentral:rRNA from 1 species